GAUCAUGGCUCAGGAUGAACGCUAGCGACAGGCUUAACACAUGCAAGUCGAGGGGCAGCAUGAACUUAGCUUGCUAAGUUUGAUGGCGACCGGCGCACGGGUGAGUAACGCGUAUGCAACUUGCCUAUCAGAGGAGAAUAGCUCAUCGAAAGAUGAAUUAAUGCUCCAUAAAACGAGGGGUCCCGCAUGGGAAUUAUUUUAGUUAAAGAUUCAUCGCUGAUAG
rnacentral:rRNA from 1 species